UAUUGAGAGUUUUACCAAUAAGAAAGCUGGCAAACUGAAAAGGAUACGAUUCAGAUAUGAAAGGCUUCCGGAUGUGUGUUACAUGUGUGGGUUGUUUGGGCACCAGAUUCAAUAUUGUCCUAAUCUUGCUAAGGUGACGAGUCCAGAAAAUCAAGGUCAACGACAGGAAUAUGGACCUUGGAUGCAAGCGGAAAUUCGGGUAUCCAAUCGAGAAAGUCAGUCACUAAGGAAGCUCUUGCUUCACAUCCAGAUGAUCAAACCCAUCAACCUAGUGGAGAAGUUGGCAUGGUGGCGCGUGUUCCCCAGCUGUCGCAAAUAGUAACUCAAACCCAAAUGGGGGUUUAUGCCUCAGACACAGAUGUACUAUCAACAGCACGUAUGAGUCAGGGUGUUGAGCUCUACAAUUGUGCCGCCAUUUUAUGUGACCCUGACAUAUAGUCGCAAUACCAAUCUUGCCAUCAUGAGCCAUCUACUACCCAAUACUUUUACACCCACAAACCAGUACUCUAACCAUUACAAGAACUGAAACUAGAGAGGUUGUUCUGUCAUCCACUAAUUCUCCUACCAAUCUUGAUGAGCCCCCAUCUGACACACACCCUGACCGACACGUCGGCCAAGAGACAGGUUCUCUUAAGAGGAAACUUUACCCUUAUCCUUUCACAGCAUCCAAAAAGGCCAAAGAUCUCUACAACAGCCCACAGACAAUGAUGGCCCUAACCCUUGGUCACAGCUUUCAAUUUUUCUGGACUGUCAUGGGCUGAAUUUGUGGGCAAACCAAUUCAUCUCCCAUCCAGUAAUUCCAUCUUAACUUUAAAUAGUUUAUCGGGUUGUGUUCCUAACCAAACUGUUUUAGCAGAAAACCCAAAUAACAAUAUCCUCUUAAGCCCACACCUUAGACGACCUCUGAAACCCAAACCCAAACUCAAAUCUCAUCUCAAAUUAAAACAACUGGCUCGUUAUAGUCCUUUCGCAUCUAAGGUAGAUUUGGGUGUUGAGGAGAGGUGAAUGGAAACACAGGAGUAGGGACAGGAAAACUUAGAGGAUGGGCCGGUAUGUGCAACUUCUGAGGCUCUGGUGGCUGGCCUAAAGCCACCACAGCAGCCAUGACAAUCCUAAGUUGGAAUUGUCAUGGGUCUGGUUCCCCCCUGACAAUAAGAACGCUCAGAGAAUUAAUCUCUGCUAAUAAACUCGAGAUUGUGUUUUUGUCAGAAACAAAGAAGAAAAGUGACUUUUUGGAAAGAUGAAAAGCUCAUUUUGGUUUUAACCACUCAUUUUAUGUAGACCAAAUUGGGUUAUCUGGAGGUCUGGCUAUGUGGUGGACAGAUCCUAUUUCUAUUCAGAUUUUGAAUGUGUCUAGUAGAUGGAUUGAUGCAAUGGUUCACUAUCAUUGUUCAUGGCAUGCCACAUUCCUAUAUGGGGAAUCAGAAGCAAGUAAUAAAAUUUCCUUUCUUAGGAAGCUGAAAAAUCUUCAUUUAAAUACGGAAGACCUUUGGUGGUUAAUUGGUGAUUUUAACAUCUGCAACUCCAAUAGAGAUAAAUGGGGAAGAAGAACAAUAAAUUCCUAGAUUGCAUCUGCUUAUAGUGAAUUUUUUAUGGAAGAACAAUUGGGAGAGCUUGAGUUUAAAGGGUCACAGUUCACCUGGUCUGGCAAGCAUCAGGGCCCCUUUAGAGUAAUGGAGCGAAUUGAUAAAGCAGUUGUUUCUUUAUAAUGGAAAAUGCUUUUUCCUUACUGUCAACUGUUUCAUGACAAAUUGCUCGCCUCGAACCAUCGUCCACUUGUGUUGGUCGUAUUGUCCAGGGUAAGGAAACCUCAAAGAACUUUCAAUUUUGAUCUUCAUUGGACCACCUCUAAUAACUGUGAUCGUGUAGUUGCUUAAGCUUGGCAAGAUGUGGACUCAACUGAGCCAUGUCAAACUGCAUUGAUGCAUUGUAGGAGGAUGUUAAGUAGCUGGAGUGCUCAAGAAUUUGGGAAUACUAGGCGGCGUAUCCAAGAUUUAUCAAAGCUGCUUGAUAUGCUUCAAUUAGACCCAAGGGGUAUUUCGUCACCUGAAGAGAUUGGUUCCAUUGAAGCUGAGCUAAAAUUUCAAUGGCAAUUAGAAGAAAUCUACUGGCACCAGAAAUCUAGGAUAAAUUGGAUGCAGUAUGGGGAUAAGAACUCUCAUUUCUUCCACUCCUCUACAAUAAUUAGGAGGUGCAGGAAUCAAAUCAGCAAAAUUAAGGGGGCACAUGGGAAUUGGAUCCAACAUGAUUAUGCUAUCAAGCAAGAGGCUCUGAAUUUUUUCAAAUAGUUAUACCAAGCCAGACAGAUGAUACCUUCUUGUUUGGAAGGGCUUCUUUGGAAGAAGCAAGGCAACUAAAAGAACUUCUGGAUGAUUUUAGUAUAGCUUCAGGUCAGAGAAUUAACAAGCACAAAUCUGAUAUUACCUUCAGCAGUAACACUCCUUGCCAUAUCCAGUCCAGUAUUGCAAAUAUGUUGUAAAUUUUUAACUCUGGUUCUAUGUCCAAAUAUCUUGGCUUGCCUAUAUCCGAGGGACGGUCAAAAUACAAAGCUUUAUCUGUUCUAAAGGAAAGAGUGGCCAGUAAGCUUCAAGGAUGGCAAACAAAAUAUUUAUCUAUGGCAGGAAGGGAAAUAUUAAUCAAAGCUAUUAUUCAAGCUAUUCCAUCCUAUGUGAUGUCAGUGUUCAAGCUACUUUCAGGCCUUAUUAAAGAGCUUCAGUAAUUGGCAGCUAAAUUUUGGUGGCGUCAAUCUAUAGACAAGGUAAAAAUUCACUGGAUGAGUUGGGAUAAGUUAUCCUGAAGUAAGUUUGCAGGGGGAAUGGGUUUUAAAGACUUAAACUUGUUUAAUGUUGCUCUUUUAGCUAAACAAGCAUGGAAAGUGAUCAACAACCCUCAAGCUUUAUGGGUCCAAGUUUUGAAAGGCAUCUAUUAUCCAUAUUCUAAUUUUCUAAAUGCAAGGAAUUGUAAAUCUGGAUCAUGGGGGUGGCACAGCUUUUUGGAGGGGAGAGAGGCUCUUAAAGCAGGGUUAAGAUGGUAGAUUUUUGGUCCUUUCUUUGUGAAUGUCUAGAAUGAACUGUGGAUUCCCAUAUUACCUACUUUUAAAGUUUCAAGUUCCAGGCCAAAUGAUAGUCCUAUCAUCUAUAUUGUUGAUCUUAUAGAUGUGAACUCAAAUUAGUGGAAUCUGCAUUUAUUACAAGCCUCAUUCUCAGAGCAAGAUUGGAAGGAAAUUAUUAAAAUUCCACUGGCAGUUAAUCCUCAUGAAGCAAAAAGGGUUUGGCACUAUACAUCUAACGGGGUCCCUACUGUGAGAUCCAUUUAUUUCUAGUGAAAAAAUGGCAUCACGAAGCAUCUCGGCAUUCAUCCCCAUCCUCUUUUAGGUUGGUAAAUCCACAAUUUUGGAAAAACCUAUGGUCUCUUCCUUUGCCUCCAAAGGUCCCAGUUUUUCUAUGGAGCCUGCUCUAAUGCUUUGGCAACUAAAGUGAACUUGUUUCAAAGAAAAUGCUCGAAUUCUCCCUUAUGUUCACUCUGUGGCAUGCAAGAGGAAACAGUGGACCACUUAAUAUUUUUUUUGUGACCAUGCUAGGGCUAUUUGGUUUGGUUCUAGUCUUGGAUUAAUUCCACAAUUAUAGGGUUUUAGCUCUUUUAGAGACUGGUGGCAGCAUUUGGUUGAUGUUUUGCACUCUAGGGAUUGCUAGCAAAUUAUUUUGGCAGGAUUGUUAUGUUGGAAUAUUUGAAAAGCGAGGAAUGUGGCUCUUUUUAAAUCUAUUAAGCCUAAUCCUUUGUUCCUCAUUACAAAGGCCCAGAACGUCAUUAAUGAGCUGCUCUCUUUAGCUACCCAGCAAUACCAUUCUGAGCAUAUCCCUGCUGAUGGUAGAAGGGCACCUUUUAAGUGGCAGCCCCCUCCUUUUGCUGUUCUGAAAUGCAAUGUAGAUGCUUCUUUUGUGAAGGAUUUUGCGAUAGCAGGGUAUGGUGUCAUUAUUCGUAAUCGUGCAGGGCAAUUUGUAGAUGGUUGUGCAGCCUCUUUCACCUGUGGUUCCUCUUUAAUAGCUGAGGGAAUUGCUUUGCGAGCAGCACUCCAAUUUGCUAUCUCUAGAAGAUACAAUCAGGAAUAGCAACAAGCGGGUUGGAGGUGGGAUCACUCUCCUCAUCUCUGUUUCACAAGAGAUCAGAUUGGGGUGGGGACUUUCCCUUAUGAAUGGGACAGGACAGGUUUACCAUCACCUUGAUGAAGGAUUGAAAGCUUAAUAUCUAACUAUGAAGGAUCCUUUUGUCCUGUGGAAUAAUCUAAAAGAAAGAUAUGAUUAUCAGAAAAUGAUUAUUCUUUUAAAAGGUAUGAUUGGAUGCAUUUAAAAUUACAAGAUUUUAAGUCAAUCAGUGAGUAUAAUUAUGUUAUGUUCAGAGAAACUUUUUAGUUAAAAUUACGUGAAGAAACUAUUAUUGAUAAUGAUAUGUUAGAAAAAGCAGUCUCCUCCUUUCAUGCCUCGAAUAUGCUCUUGAAGCAGCAAUAUCGAGAGAAGGGUUUUUAGACAUAUUUUGAAUUAAUUCACGCCUUCUUGUGGCUAAACAAAAUAAUGAAUUAUUAAUAAAAAAUCAUGAAAGUCGACCAACUAGUUCUACCCUAUUUUCUGAGGUGAAUGACGCUUCUACCUAUUAUUCUAGACGUGGAAAAGUUCGUAGCUGUGGUUAAGGAAGAAAUAUGUAUUUCUAUCGUGGUAAUCAUAUUUGUAAUUCAUCAGAUUAUAAGAAUACAUCUCACCACCAGAAGUAGAAAAAAAAUGACGAGAGCCAAGAAACAAGACAACAUAAAAAUU